CGUUCUUAAAAAUAAAAAAUGAUCUUUAAGGGAUCUUGCAACUCAAACAUUCGAUAAAAUCUAGUUCAAAACUAUUUGACCUAAUUAUUAUUUUUUAAUCAAUUACAUUCUGACUGAAAACAUCGUUUAAGAGGAUGCUGAAUGGAAGGAUAGAAGAAUUAGGGUUUCUUUUUUUCCUUCCAGGCUUUUAAGAUUGGCUUGUUGACAUGACACCAUGCAUAUUUGGGAGUCCGGGAUUAUGUAUGAAUUCACGUUUGUGAAUCUCAAGUUUAGCCUGGGAAAUGUAAAUGUAUGGAAGACAUCCUGUUCACACAAAGAAAAUAGCUUCGCAUAUGAUUUCCUUUGGUAAAUAUUUUAAAGAAAGAUGGCAUCAUGUCCUCCGAAAGGUCUCUUUUCUUCAUUUCUCAGAGCGAAUUUCUACUGAGCUCCUUGGAAAAAGAUAAAAAAAGAAAGUGAAAGAAAAUCAUAGAGCGUAUACCCAUUUAAUGUACCAAAUGUCCCAUCCGAGGUUUCAGGGAGGUGUAAAUACUCCUACACUACACAGCGCAUCCCCAAGAUCUCUGCCCACAGCCAAGAUCAAUGGUGCUGUUAGCAUAUCUGUGUUUUAUUAAGGCAACUAAAUGGAAUUUGUGUGCGUCGGGCUACUCGUGAUUUGGCAGGAAAUAGCAUGUAUGGUGUAAAAGUCAUCGACCAUAUUUCAUGGAAACUAAAGUGAAAGUCUACUUUUCUGCCCAAAUGCUUCAUCCUUACGUAGGUAAAUCCCAUUAAGAUGAAUGUUCUCCUUAUGCAUUCUCCUGAUGUCUUAACCUCACUAGACUCUCCUUUGAGGCUCUCUCUGGUGGUUUUGUUUGUAUCUCCACAGCUCUAAAGGGGGCCUUCACAAUUCUAGCUAAAGACCAGACGAGUACUCCUCCAAACGGGAUGCAAAUCGAUAUGGCAUCAAGAUGGCGUCAUUCAGGUUCGUGCUGUCUUGGAUGCUGGCGUUCUGCAUUCGGCCAUUCCCGUCUUUCCACGACUGUGGUGCUCCAGGAGAUCUGCCCUACAAGAUCUGGAACACCGUCAGAUGAAAGAAACUGGUAAGUCCUUCUCUGCAAGUUGAAUGUUUCGUUUCAAAAGCCGUGCCGGAUACCUACAAAGAUUUCCUCAGUCCCCAGCGCCCCGGCCCAAAGACAAGAAGCAAAACCUUGUAACGGUCAAAAGCAGAAGUUAACGGUUUAGAACUUUUAGGCCGUCCUGGGCGGUCUCUUCUAGCAAGAUGGCGCCUUCAAGGGGUUUCUCACUGUUGAAGCAGAAGUUUAACGUUAUCGGUUGUAUGAUCAUCAGGUGAGGCUUAUGGUUUGCGAGAGAGUAGGGAGGGCUCUGCCGUGUACCAGCUUUCUUCAGCAAGGCUUUCCCUCUUCUUCUCUCAGGAUAGCAUGCUUUCACAGAGAAUCUUGAUGUUUCCCUGUGAGUGGUUUUAUAGGGGCUUCACCUCUAGCAUGGGCUUUGCUGGGGCCCUAGAGACUUACGUUGGCCCCUGGUAAGUUCACUAAUGGCAGUGCCUGUAUUUCUAUUUUUUUAAAUUUUUUAAAAAAAUUUGUGGGGCGCCUGGGUGGCUCGGUCGGUUAAGCGUCCGACUUCGGCUCAGGUCACGAUCUCGCGGUCCGUGAGUUCGAGCCCCGCGUCGGGCUUUGGGCUGAUG
rnacentral:lncRNA from 1 species